rnacentral:lncRNA from 1 species
CCAAAGCUGCCAGUCUGCAGGGAGCUGCCAGUCUGCAGGGAGCCGCCAGAGCUGCCAGUCUGCAAGGAGCCGCCAGAGCUGCCAGUCUGCAAGGAGCCGCCAGAGCUGCCAGUCUGCAAGGAGCCGCCAGAGCUGCCAGUCUGCAAGGGGCCGCCAGAGCUGCCAGAGCUGCCAGUCUGCAAGGAGCCGCCAGAGCUGCCAGUCUGCAAGGGGCCGCCAGAGCUGCCAGAGCUGCCAGUCUGCAAGGAGCCGCCAGAGCUGCCAGUCUGCAAGGAGCCGCCAGAGCUGCCAGUCUGCAAGGAGCCGCCAGAGCUGCCAGUCUGCAAGGAGCCGCCAGAGCUGCCAGUCUGCAAGGAGCCGCCAGAGCUGCCAGUCUGCAAGGAGCCGCCAGAGCUGCCAGUCUGCAAGGAGCUGCCAGAGCUGCCAGUCUGCAAGGAGCCGCCAGAGCUGCCAGUCUGCAAGGAGCCGCCAGAGCUGCCAGUCUGCAAGGAGCCGCCAGAGCUGCCAGUCUGCAAGGAGCCGCCAGAGCUGCCAGUCUGCAAGGAGCCGCCAGAGCUGCCAGUCUGCAAGGAGCCGCCAGAGCAGCCAGUCUGCAAGGAGCCGCCAGUCUGCAAGGAGCCGCCAGGGCCGCCAGUCAGCAUGGAGCAGCCAGGGACGCCAGUCAGCAUGGAGCAGCCAGGGCCGCCAGUCAGCAUGGAGCAGCCAGGGCCGCCAGUCAGCAUGGAGCAGCCAGGGCCGCCAGUCAGCAUGGAGCAGCCAGAGCAGCCAGUCAGCAUGGAGCAGCCAGAGCAGCCAGUCAGCAUGGAGCAGCCAGUCAGCAUGGAGCAUCCAGUCAGCAUGGAGCAGCCAGUCAGCAUGGAGCAGCCAGUCAGCAUGGAGCAGCCAGAGCUGCCAGUCAGCAUGGAGCCGCCAGUCUGCAUGGAGCAGCCAGAGUUGCCAGUCAGCAUGGAGCAGCCAGAGCUGCCAGUCAGCAUGGAGCAGCCAGUCAGCAUGGAGCAGCCAGAGUUGCCAGUCAGCAUGGAGCAGCCAGAACUGCCAGUCGACCAGACACUUCCAGAUCUGCCAGUCGACCAGAUCUGCCAGUCGACCAGACUCUUCCAGAUCUGCCAGUCGACCAGACUCUUCCAGAUCUGCCAGUCGACCAGACUCUUCCAGAUCUGCCAGUCGACCAGACUCUUCCAGAU